rnacentral:tRNA from 1 species
GGAACUGUGGCUCAAUUGGUAGAGCAUUAUCCUUGAGCUAAAGAGUUGAGGACAGUGCCCAGGCCUAGAGUUCAAGCCCUACAACUCCA